rnacentral:rRNA from 1 species
AUGUGCCCACGGGUGAAAGAUUUAUUGCCAAAAGAUGAGCUCGCGUCUGAUUAGCUAGUAGGUGAGGUAAUGGCUCACCUAGGCGACGAUCAGUAACUGGUCUGAGAGGAUGACCAGUCACACUGGGACUGAGACACGGCCCAGACUCCUACGGGAGGCAGCAGUGGGGAAUUUUCCGCAAUGGGCGAAAGCCUGACGGAGCAAUACCGCGUGAGGGAGGAAGGCUUUUGGGUUGUAAACCUCUUUUAUUAGGGAAGAAGAUCUGACGGUACCUAAUGAAUCAGCAUCGGCUAACUUCGUGCCAGCAGCCGCGGUAAUACGAGGGAUGCAAGCGUUAUCCGGAAUUAUUGGGCGUAAAGCGUCCGCAGGUGGUUUUACAAGUCUGCUGUCAAAGCGUGGAGCUUAACUCCAUAACGGCGGUGGAAACUGUAAGACUAGAGGUCAGUAGGGGUCACGGGAAUUCCCAGUGUAGCGGUGAAAUGCGUAGAUAUUGGGAAGAACACCAGCGGCGAAAGCGCGUGACUGGGCUGAUUCUGACACUCAUGGACGAAAGCUAGGGGAGCGAAUGGGAUUAGAUAC